GAUGAAGAACGCAGCGAAAUGCGAUACGUAAUGUGAAUUGCAGAAUUCAGUGAAUCAUCGAGUCUUUGAACGCACAUUGCGCCCCCUGGUAUUCCGGGGGGCAUGCCUGUCCGAGCGUCAUUGCUGCCCUCAAGCACGGCUUGUGUGUUGGGCCCCGUCCUCCGAUUCCGGGGGACGGGCCCGAAAGGCAGCGGCGGCACCGCGUCCGGUCCUCGAGCGUAUGGGGCUUUGUCACCCGCUCUGUAGGCCCGGCCGGCGCUUGCCGACACAUCAAUCUUUUUUCCAGGUUGACCUCGGAUCAGGUAGGGAUACCCGCUGAACUUAAGCAUAUCAAUAAGCGGAGGA
rnacentral:misc_RNA from 1 species